rnacentral:misc_RNA from 1 species
UGUACACACCGCCCGUCACACCAUGGGAGCGGGUUCUGCCAGAAGUAGUUAGCCUAACCGUAAGGAGGGCGAUUACCACGGCAGGGUUCGUGACUGGGGUGAAGUCGUAACAAGGUAGCCGUAUCGGAAGGUGCGGCUGGAUCACCUCCUUUCUGGAAAUAUGCAGUCAAAUUCUUACGCCCAUUCUUAUCGGCUGUUGUGUCAAACAACAGCAAUGUCACCGAGUUAAUUCAAGUUAAUUAGCAUUAAUUGGUGCCGCCUUCGAGUUUAUUAAUGAGAGUUAAUUAAUGAGAGGGUCUGUAGCUCAGCUGGUUAGAGCAUCGUCUUGAUAAGGCGGGGGUCGUUGGUUCGAGUCCAACCAGACCCACCAAUUGGGCUUAGUUAGUCUUAAUUGGACUUAGGUGGAAAGCGACAAGCAAAAAGCGAAAAAUAAAUCCCGGGGGAUUAGCUCAGCUGGGAGAGCACCUGCUUUGCAAGCAGGGGGUCGACGGUUCGAUCCCGUCAUCCUCCACCAAACCUGCUGCUGCCGCGUAAGUGGUGAAAGUAGUGAAAGUAGUGAAUAAAAAAACUUAUCCGAAGCAAAUUAAAUUAAUGCAAAGCAUGUUCUCGACAAGUCGCGAGGAUGCUUUGUAUUGAUUGAUUCAUUUCAAUUAUUGGCUGUUCUUUAAAAAUUUAUAGAGUUAAAUUAGCGUCGUUAGCGGAAACUGCACAUUCGUAAAGGUUUAGUGCAGACCGUGCCGCUAGCGACAAAGUAGUAAAUAAUUUUUUGAUUGCGUCAAAAGAAACUUUUAAUUUCGAUAGUAAUUUAUUGAAUAAUUGGAAGAUACGGCAUAACGCGUGUGGUGUAAGACCACACAAUCAUUCCUUGAAGAUAGCUUAUGAGAAAUCAAAGUUAUAGGGUCAAGCGAAUAAGAGCAUAUGGUGGAUGCCUAGGCAAUGAUAGGCGACGAAAGACGUGAUAGCCUGCGAUAAGCUUCGGGGAGCUGGCAAAUUAGCUUUGAUCCGGAGAUUUCUGAAUGGGGAAACCCACCCUUCGGGGUAACGCUGACUGAAUACAUAGGUCUGCGUGGCGAACCGGGUGAACUGAAACAUCUCAGUAGCUCGAGGAAAAGACAUCAACCGAGAUUCCGAGAGUAGUGGCGAGCGAAA